UACAGAGGCCCCGAGCGUUACCCGGAAUUACUGGGCGUAAAGAGUGCGUAGGUGGUCAUGUUAGUCGUUCGUUAAAUCUCCCGGCUCAACCGGGAGCAUGCGGGCGAAACGGCAUGACUCGAGGGCGUGAGAGGUACAUGGAACUCUAGGUGUAGGGGUGAAAUCCGUUGAUAUCUAGGGGAACACCGAAAGCGAAGGCAGUGUACUGGCGCGUUCCUGACACUCAAGCACGAAAGCGUAGGUAGCGAACGGG
rnacentral:rRNA from 1 species